AUUUUUAAAAAAAGAAGUCAACUCUAAAAACACCUUUUUAAAAGAAAGAAGCAACGUUAAAUAAAAGCUGCUAACAACAAUAAGAGAGCGCUCUCUUUCUGGGAUAAGCUGAGAGCUAAAUGCUAAAGCUUCCUCGCAUGGCACUAUGGGAAUGCGGCUUCCAUAAACAGCAGGUGCCACAACAAACAUGGCCGCCAUUAGCCGCGGCCUAGCAUGGAAUCUACAGAGAAUUAUAACAUGAUUAAAUUAUAAUUUGCACUAAAUACGCGACUGAAUACAGUUAUCAGUGAGAUGUAUGUAAAUGAUCCACUCCCUGUGUAUCACCUGAUUUCUACAACUGGCUUUACAUCCUGAAUGGAAGGUCAGGAUCUAAUACUUACUGUCCGCGGAGAGAGCGCGCGCGACCGUGAGACGCCUUUUUGUCCGCAUGAUAUGCCGCCUCCCGAGCCCAUGGUUUCGGGACCGGAU